rnacentral:lncRNA from 1 species
UUUUUUUUUUUUUUUAGGAACAUAUAGUUAUCUCUCCAGUGGAGUUGAAUAUAUGGAACUUGUUACUGUCAUCUAAAUUUUCAUCUUAAAACAAAAAUGUGUACAAAUGUUUCUAUCUCAGUGAAAUUAUAACUGUAUAAGUAGAUAAAAGUAUUUGGUAAGAAACUGAUGGCAAGUUAUUGUUCACUGAGUUUCAUAUCUAUAAUCAAUGCUGUGUGUACAUCAUUAUUGGUUUUGUAUUGCUCAGUGGUAUAGCCUGAUAUGUGCAGUAUGGGACAGAGCAGAAGUAAUGAGUUUGCUGUGAAAAUGUAGAGAACAGAUUAAAACCCAGUCCACAAAUGGUUAAGUUUUUAGAUGUCAAUAUAUAUAUAUUUUUUACUAGAGAAACUAAAGCACAGUGCAGUGUUGAAGAGGCUGAAAAUAUCCCAAUUUGCAAAAGAAACUGUCCUGUUUAAUAUCAGCAUUGUUAUUGGAGAAAACCUUAACCCUACUAAAGAAAUUCUCAUGACUCUUCUUGUCUCAUAUAAGAAAUCUGGAAUGAAGGAAGAGUAUACUGCUUAGUUUUCCAGAAAUACUAUAAUACAUAAUUUUCAGUACAGAAUAAUUAUCAUCUAACUCAUACCUGAGAUAAGAGCCUUUAAAGAAACUGUCCAUUCGUCGAGAGUGUUAAGUCACCAUGGACAAAGGCCAUUAUUAUACUGAAGUCUCGUGUAUCACAGUUUAAGAACAAGAUAGAGGGUGGUUCUUAAGAGUUGGAAGCACGUUCUGUCCUGUUGUAGACUAUGGCUUUUCUAUGAGUGCUAGUGAAAGUACACACACGGCUUAUAGACCAAUGCUGGCACUUUCUUUCUUCAUGAUGUGCAUGUAUAUGAGAGCAUUUAUCAGCAUACAGUCAGAAUUAACCAUGAGCUGUAUCUGUGGGCUGGCAGGCCGGGAAGAAUACAGCACACACUCCUCAGAUCAGUGUUGUUUGGCAAGUCUCACCACCUUGGCAGAGCUGAACUGAGACCUAGAGGAAGCAGUACUCAUGCAGGCAGCCAUGUAGCAUUUAAAAUAAUAUUUAAUUUAUUCAGUUUGCCACAUUUUUCAGCAGCUACAUUAUUUGCUUUUGUUACAAAAACAUGGUUACAGUCUGCACACAAAACACUAAAUAGAUACUUGUUCAUUUUAGUAGAUCUAGAUACUCAAAAUGGAUAUUUAAAUUUUCAAUGUAUUUUUCUACCAUCUGUAUCAGAUUAUGAACUGCUAAAAGCAGAAACCACAGAGUCCUUAGGUAGGUUACAGAGUAUCUUGUCAGCUAGUCCAGUUGGUCUACAGAAGAGGGAAGGGCCACAGCAAGCUGAGCACCUCAGUGUAGCCAGGUGUGCUGGGAGAAGGUCAGCAGUGCGCGGCCCUUUUAUGGUUUUCCUUCAGUUUCCUCAUGGCACCAGACAGUGUUGCUUACUCCUGCUUUCUAAAUGUGUUCAUAUGGUUUAAAAGGGUGGGGGAUUCAUAAAGUACACAGAGAAACUAAUGGCUAUCAACCUACCUUAUUCAUCAAAGACUGUAGCUCAUCUAGUGUUUUACUGAAAUGAAAUUUAAAAAUCAAAAUGGAAUCAAUGCUCAAAUAUUUUGCUUAUUUGUUUUUUUUUUUAAUAAAAGUACUUUCAAAAGUAAUGUUCUAAGACUGGCUUUAAUGGUAUAUGCCUUUAAUUCUAGCACUGGGGAGGUAGAACCAGGCAGACUUGUGUGGGUUCAAGGCAAGUCUUGUCUCUAUAUAGCAAGUUACAAGAUAUCCAAAGUUACAUGGUGAGAUCCUGUAAACAGUUAAUAGAUAAACAAAUAAAAAAACAAGCACUCCACAGCUAAAAAUCUACGGGAAAAUCCCAUCCAUCAUAAAACCAUCAUGGUUUUGUCCUAUAGACAGCAUGUUCCUAGCUUCCUACAGCCUCAUCAGUAUAAAGGAUUAGCAGUUAUUUAUCUUACCGGAAGAAAGAAAAUUGUAUUACACCAAUGUCUUUUGUGCAGGUUAUAUCAGAUUUCAUAUUUUAAAAAGUUAAUUACAAAUUUAGAUUUCUUUUUUUAUGAUCUGAGUGUUAAAUGUUUAAUAUUUUUCACUGAGUUUUCAUUUUAUUUUUUCAUUUUUUCAAAAAGAUCUUUACCAAUUUUUAUAGCAUAUUUGUAUGUUAUCAAAAGUUAAAUUUUGCAGGUGCCUGAGUGAAGCUGGGAGCUGGCAAGGUGGUCUUCCCUUGGGAAGAGCACACCAAAUGGUUGUCCAUGUCAAGAUUUUAAGCCUGGAAGCACACAUGCUAGUAACAUUAUGUGGACUCUAUAAGUUAUAUUUAGGAAUAUAUGUGUAUAUAAAUAUGCAUAUAUGCAUGUGAUACAAUGAGAAAAGAGGCCAUAAAUUUAAGAAGGGGUGGGAAGAAUAUGUGUGUGUGUGUGUGUGUGUGUGUGUGUGUGUGUGUGUGUGUGUGUGUGCGUGAUUGUUGGAGAGAGGAAAGUGAAGGGAAAUAAAGUCAUAAUUAAAUAACAAUCUCAAAUUUUUAAGCACUUAGAAAAAAUGAAGUUUUGUGUUCCUAGUUUUAGUUAUUAAUUUCUUUUUGCCCUGUAGUAUUUGCAUACAGUAGUGCUCACUGCUCAUUUACUUUGUGACUUAGAAGAACUCAUAUGGAGAGAACUUAUUCACAUUUUUUUAUAGCAGAUUUGUGGUGUAAUCUUUUAUUUAAUAUUUAUAUUUUGAUUCAACUAAAUUUUACAUUCUGUGUACUUUCAAAAUGCAUUAACUCUUGUUUUUGAAUGAAAGUAGCAGUUUUAUUUUUUCACUUGAAAUGAAAAAAAAAUCCUUUUUUGUUCCAUAAACUUUUUAGGAAGACAGAGUUAGCACAAAGGC